CUCUUUGAGUUCCUCUGAAAGUCGUCGGAUGUCUUCCAUAAGGCUGUGUCCCAGUGGAAUGAAGACUGGCCUACCUCCUGGUUUCUGGGGUGCUGACUUCAGUCCCACCAAUUGGUUCCCUCUGUUCCCGCUCAACCAAUGGCUCGUCACCACACUGAUUACCUCUUGCUCAUAAGGAGAGUCCACCUGUUGCUCGAGGCAGCUUGUCACCGCCUAUUGACUUGUGUGCCGCUGGUAUUGACUGUGUACUUUGCUUGUUAGCUGUACAUUGUGUUUAGUGGAACAAUUUGCAUACCUUGUUUGUCAGCUCUACAUUGUGUGUGUAGUGGAGAAAUUCACUUAGUAUUUUUGUUUAAUAUUGAGUUAAUUUUCAUCAGGUGUAGUGGGUGCUGUGCUCCCUUUUUUUUUUUUUUUUUUUUUUGUAUCUUACUGUGUUUCUGUUUGUCUUGUUUCAAAUAGAAGUUAUUAGGAGAGCCAACCACUGUUUUUUUUUCCCACCGGUUAGUUUUAUUGUGCUCACACUAGAUCCUUGAAUGGGCCAUAUUUUGUGUUUCUGGCUGUGUUAAAGGGGGAAACUGAAAGACAGAGUAACCGUUUUGUGUAGUGUGCAGCAUGCAGGUAGUGUUUUUCCAUAGUAUUUGGUUUGAGCGUGUGGGUUAUUUCCUUAUUUGUCUAUCAGUGUGGUUAUAAUUUGUCGGUGCCCAAUUCUACAUCAGUUUCCCUGGUAAUGCAGUCUAGUCCUGAAUUGUGUUUCUUCUUUUGUUUUUGAUGUAACAAAUAAAAUUUACAUUCCUAUACUGA